AAGCAUUUCAAACACAAUGAAUGAGAAAAAAAUAAACUGCCCACUGCCAUCUUCAGGACUUACUCCUUCCAGUUAAAAAUGUUGGUCCAAAGAAAAGAGGAAAAAAAAAAAAAAGAAUAGAUUGUAUUUAUGCUGUGUUGUCGGUCAGACAACACACAUGUGCUAUGUAAUCUACGGUUUCCUAGGACUUGUGUGUUGAGGAAAAGAUGGUGGCAGAAUGAGAAUUACAGACCAAGGAAAAGCAAAAGUGUGAAGGCCUUGAGCGAGGAGGAGCAUGAAACUUCAGAAAUGAAAGCAAGUAAAGAGGGUUGGAGUGGAGAGAGAAAGGAGAGAAUGACAGCACACAAGGCUAAUUCUCUGCCUGGAAGACAGGCUAAGGAUUCUGGAUUGUUUCCCAAGAACAAGUGAACAGUUUUAAGAAACAAUAUGAUCCAUUUUUCCCCCUAUUUCAAAUAAAUCCGUUUGCAAUGUGCAGGAUGGUUUGGAGAAGACAGGCAAGACUUGAUGUCAGAAGACUAUUCAGGGGCUAAAGCUCUACUACCAUUUAUAAAUGAAGGGAGUUAUUCUCAUUUAAGUCUCUGAAAUUGAGAUGUACCUACUUAAAAAUUAAUAUUGUUAUCCCUUUUAUUUUUCUGUGGUCGUGAAACAAAUUUGCAAAGAUUAUGACAGUGAGAAGUAUAGUGUGGCUGAUUCUUUUUUACUUCUAUCCUCACAGGUUGUCUAUCCUUGCUCAUUCCUGAGUAUAGGCCAAGCUAACCAUAGGAGGAAUUUAUAGAGUAACUUUGAAGCAAGGAUGACAACAGUCUCUUCCUAAAACUAACCCCCUCCUUGAGGGACUGACAUCACCUUUGUAAAACUAAUUAAAACCACAUAAUUAGGAUUAUGGAGAGGGCUAAAUUCUGCUAAGAUGUAGGCAUAGUUUCUAUAAUCCCUUACUAGCCAUGAGUCAUGUGGCCUGAGGUCACAAGAUUUGUGACUUCACCAAUUGCUCCUAUAUAAAAAAUCACUAUUGUAGAACCUAAUAUUGACAUUUUAAUUUGUUUUUCAUACUUUUGCUUUCUGGUAAUUGACCCCACCUAGACCCAUGACUCAUGACUCAACUGGUCCUGUGGCCACCCCACCCAGAGGUGGACUAAGCACAAGAGGA